UCGGGAGAAUUAAUAAUUCGUAUGCUAUAGUCGUGGAUAAUUGCAUUCAUUAGGAAAAGACAGGAGCUGAGGCAAUUUCCUUCAGGGUACACUUACUGCACUUACACGCAUGACCAAGGCAGUUAGAAGAGUUCGGACCAUCCCAAAGGGAAAGAAGUUACCCUCAAAUGAACACGUGCUCUAGAUGAUGCCUUCCCAGGGGAUCCAGUUCUGGAAGAGCCUGUGGUGAAUUUGGUCCAAGGCGUUGGACCAAUUUCUGCAUAAAGUGAUGGAGAAGCACAUAUAUGAAAGAAGUCAUCCCAUGUGUGCGCUGAUUCACUUGGCCUCCCAAAGAGGUCUUCUCAAGCAAAAUUCACUCAGGCUUAUGAAAUCCAAGUUCCCAUUUCACAACGGGUGUUAGCAACUUAAAGGAAGGUAAUGCCCAGGCAGCUGGUGUUGACAAUAGCACGGAUACAGAGCCCAAAUGGAAGAAUCUGCUUUGUAGAUUUUUUUUUUCUCUCUCCCUCUGCUGGUUCACUGAUAACAUUGUUCAGUUUGAAGAUGGAUCUUCUGCUACAAGAGUUGGGACUUAACCAGGAAGAAGUUGUUUGACCCGAUCUGGAUUCCAUCAUGUUCAGCAUCGAGGGCUGCUGAGAACGGGACCUGCAGAGCAUGACAUUUCUGUGGGAAGCCAGAGGAAGAAGUCUUUGACUCAUCGCUCCACACAAAGUACUACCUCAAAAUGGCUUAGAUAUGCAUCUAGCUCCCUUCAAUGAAACCUUUACUCAUGUCUAUCAUAAUUGGAACAUUAACAAAAAAGAAGCAUUAGAAGAAGCAAACAACUGCUCCCUAAACCCCCAAACAAGAUCACCCAUAUUACUGCACUUAGGAACAACCACCCGGGGGCUGGGUGGAUGGCUCAGGAAUUAAGAGCACUGGCUGCUCUUCCACAGGACCCACAAUUCCCAGCUUCCACAGGACGACUCACAACUGUCUGUUACCUCAGUUCCAGAGGAUCUGACACCCUCACUCAGACAUGCGGGCAGAACAUCAAUGCAGCUAAAAUAAAUGAAUCUAAGAAAAAAGCAAAAACCCCAAAACCACUGUAUUCUUGGGGGAGGGGAGCUUUAAAAAAAAAGAAAUAGCCAUUUAACAUUUUUUUAAUACAAGAAUUUAAUAAGCAAAAUGGGAUCUUGUCUACUGAUUGAGCUGACAAGAUUCAGAAAGUGCCUCACCACUGAGCCAUCUCCCUGGGCCUUUUAAACUUUGUUUUAAUGGAAGGACUAUGUGUCCAUUGUGAGCUUGCUUUAGAGAAACACACAGAGCAAGGCCCUGAUUUUUUAAUUUAUUAGGUCCGUGUCUCAGUUACUUACCUGCCAACAGCCAAGAGUUUCUUACUUAUCAGUGUGGAAUUUUCUAGGUGCAGACGUUGUGGAAAUGUCAUAUUGAAAACGCUCACGCUCCCGUGGAGACAAAGGGGAUUGACUUGCUCAGUGUGCAUCUCUUUGUUGUGGCUCAGAGAUCUGAGCGUGGUUUCUGGGAAGCCAGGCAAUGUGGAAAUGAAAGAGAUUCUGUGUCUCGAAUUGCUGAGCCACCACUGGGCUGUCGAACAGAAACGCACGUUUUGCCAACUUAAAGUGGAAGUCUGAGACUUAAGUCAGCUGUCAGUUAUCUGUGGCUUCUGGCUGUUACUCCGUUGCUAGUUAGUUUCAGUGAGUUGCUGAGAGGAGAAGAGCAAACCAUUCACCCAUCCAAUGACAUAUGGGAGGUGCCACAUCCUUGUCCUGUAUCUUUCUCGACCUUGAGAGGGCGGAGGAUGCAUGGCUCCAUGUUAGAGCAUCUGGGAAGUGCUCAUAAGAUCCUGAGUCCCAUCCUCAGCACCACUCUCUGCCCUCAGAAGUGUCAGUGCUUGUCCUUUAAGCAGGAAGUGCCCACAGAGUUUGCCUAUACAGCAAGUUGAUGCACGCAGGGGUUGGGUGGGGUUGGUGGGGAGGUGAUAUGUGUAAGAAGGACAUUGUCAGAAGAUGAAGGACCCACGGAACACUGCUCUGGUGAACCUAGGUGGCCCAUGCUUGCUUGGGUAGCCAAGGUUCCAGUGACCUUCCUUGAUUGCUGCAGUCAGUUCAGUUGAGCAAAAUGGCGAACUGUUUGGGGCUUUGGGGAAGAUGCUCUGCUUUUAUCAAGAUCCUUCCUCUAACAAGAAUAUUUAGAUCCAAAGAGACCUCAAUUCGGAUGAGUGCGGUGUUUAUUCCCCUCAGCUGGCAAGGCCUUCCCCAUCGUCCUUGGUUUCGCAUUAUUCUGCUGGUGCUGGCACAGGUGAAACCAGUCAGGAGAGGGGAGCAGUGACAUGUGGAGGUCUCUGCCACAGAGGAGUUGGGAUAAGAUCAUAGGCAGAAUUAUUUUGGGGCCACGUUCUGGAGUGAUGGACAUGACAAGGGUUGAGAGAAGGGGGCAACAUCUUUUUCUGUCUUAAAGGAAAAUUGGACAAUUAUGAAACAAACUCAAGAUGUGGUAUGUGUGUGCAUGUGCAUGUGUUCAUGUAACUGCACUAUUGCCUCUGUGUGUGUGUGUGUGUGUGUGUGUGUGUGUGUGUGUGUGUGUGUGUGUUUCAUAUGUAUGUUUGGGCAUAUUCCUAUUCCUGCACCAUUGCUUCUCUCUCUCUCUCUCUGAGCAUGAGCAUGUGUGUGUAUGUGUAUGUGUAUUUGUGUGUAUGUAUGUGUGCCUAUGUGUGUGUGUGUAUAUAUGUAUAUAUCUGUGUGUUUGUGUCUGUGUGUGUGUGUAUAUAUAUGUAUGUGUCUGUGUGUUUGUGUCUGUGUGUGUGUGUGUGUUUGUGUCUGUGUGUGUGUAUGUGCAUGUGUGUGUAUUUAGGCUAGAGGUCAUGUAUUUUCCUUUAUUGUUCUUUCUACUAUUCUUUAGGAUCUCUCAUUGAAGGUGGAACUCACAAGUUUGGCAAAACUGAUUGGCUUCUGAGCACCCAGUAUCUCCUAUCUUGGUCAUCAGCUCUGGGGGUGUGGUUACUUAGCAUGGCAUCCAGACUCUAUGUGGGUGCUAGGGAUCUGAACUUGGAUCCUCAUGGUUACACAGCAAGCCCUCCGAUGCUCUCCAACCUAAGGGACUUUGAAAGGAACAAGAGGUCGCAGUGUCUAUAGUACAUGUUAUAGGCACAUGGAACUGCAAAAGUGUUACGGAAGUGUAACAUAUAAAUAUAUAUAUAAAAUAUAAUAUAUGGAAGUGUAAUAUAUAUAAUGUAUUAACAUAAUAUAUGAAAGUGUAAUAUAUAUAAUUUAUAUUGCAAGGAUAGUGCAUGCUUAUAGGUGGUUUUAAAAUGCACAAUUAAAAUCAUUUAUACAUUCAUUUAUGAUCAUCUGUCCAUCCAUUCAUCUACUUACCUAUGUUUGAUUAUUUUGUGGGUGUUUCAUGUGUAGUUUUUACAUGACAAAAUCACAAUAUACGUUUCAGUUUAUGAUUUUUUUUUUGUCCUCAUGACUGUAUGCUGACUGUGGUUAGUUGAAGUUUUGGAAGAUUGCACUGCAAGUUUUGGUAACUGUCCUGUCUAGUUUUAUGUUGACUCAGCACCAGCUAGAGUUAUCUGAAAGGAGGGGACCUCAACUGAGAAAACGCCUCAGUAAGAUCCGGCUGUAACGCAUUUUCUUGAUUAGUGAUUGAUGGAGAAGGGCCUAGCCCAUUGUGGGUGGUGCUAUUUGUGUGCUGAUAGUCCCAGGUAAUGUAAGAAGCAGGCUGAGCAAGCCGUGGGAGCAAGCCAGUAAGCAAAGCCUCUCCAUGGUCUCUGCAUCAGCUCCUGACUCCAGAUUCCUGCCCUGUGUGAGUUCCUGCCCUGACUUCCUUCAAUGACAGUGCCGUGGAGGUGUAGGCCAAAUAAACCCUUCCCUCUCCAAGUUUCUUUGGUCAAUAGUAACCCUGACUAAGAUAGAUUUUCAGCCAUAGUUUAGGAUGGUCAGAAUUAUGGGGACUUACCACUAUGGAAAAUAUUACUGAUUCAGUAUUGAUUAAUGAAGUUAAUUACCUAUCAGUACUUAUUUAUAUGCACUUUGUUUUGGGGGGAAGAUAUAGUUGAUAUACACACCUCUAUUCUUCCUGCUAAGUGCGAUUAAACACCAUGCUGGCUAGUUUUUGUUUGUUUGUAUAUUUAUAUCUUUAAUUAACUUGAUGAAAGCUGGAGUCAUUAG